UAAAUAUAAUUUAAGAAUUUGUUCAGCUGAUGGGCUGGAUGAUUGGUGGGGUUGGGUUGGGUUGGGUGCGGGGGUCCAACAUCUAGUGAUCAGAUGAUAGGCAAUUGAUGAAGUAACUAGGUAAAUAGUAACUGCAGUAAAGGUAAGCUAAAGAAAAGCUGGAGUGAAUUGGUUUAGGUAAACUGAAUUGAAAAGAAAAGGAAACUUGUUAAUGGAGUCAAGUAGAUUAUAGUGGAUGCUGUUCAAAAAAAAAAAAACCUGAUCAGGUAGCUGAAAGCAGCAUUAUAAUGUACAAUCAUCAUCAUCAUCAUCAUUUAACAUCCGUCUUCUAUGUUGGCAUUAGUUAGGUGGUUUGAGAAGAUCCAAAAAAGCAGAGGACAAUGCCGAGCUCCAAUAUCUGCUUUGGAAUGGUUUCUAUGGCUGGAUGCCCUUCUGAAAGCCAACCACUUUGUUGAGUGUACUCGGUGCUUGUACUUUUUAUAUGGUACUGGCUCUAGUGAAGUCAUUAAGUAACUAGCAACACAAAGAACUGUCAACUGAGUGGGGUUGCUGUGGAGCAGGCAGUGACUUUAUACCAGGUGUUGAAAGACUAAAGUAUGAUGGAGGGGGACAAGCAUAAGUGUUUGCUAUAAAAGAGAGACAUGGCUACCUAGUAUUAUCUAAGGAUGGGUUAGUAUAUAUCUGAAGGAAGAUGAUGAUGGUGUUGGUGAUGAGAUACCAGACUGCACUACAUAUGACAAAUAGUAAUCUAGAUAGGCUUAGUGCCUAUGACAGAAGUAUGCAAGCAAUAAAAUAAUUUAAGUAAAAUUGUAAUAAUAAAAAAAAAAUAUGUUUUUAGCAACAAAAAAAUAGAAGGAAAAACUAGUAUUAACCCCUGCCACCAU